AGGACGAACGCUGGCGGCGUGCUUAACACAUGCAAGUCGAGCGGUAAGGCUCCUUCGGGAGUACACGAGCGGCGAACGGGUGAGUAACACGUGAGCAAUCUGCCCUUCUCUUCGGAAUAACCAUUGGAAACGAUGGCUAAUGCCGAAUACGACCUCCUUUCGCAUGAUCGGAGGUGGAAAGCUCCGGCGGAG
rnacentral:rRNA from 1 species